UACUCGGAUAAGCUCUUCCGCCGACUUCCUCUGGAAAAGAUCAUUUAAAAAAGUUUGACAGCGAUUUAUUUUUAUUUUUUUUUUUAGUCCGAUGUACACAGACACCGGAAUCGCAGUGUGACUGCAGAACAAGCUUUUAUCACAAAGGGGCACAAAUGAAGAUCCAUUUAUAAGUGAUUCAGCCUUUCUGGGAAAGAGUUAAGAACUAAAGAGAAAAUUGAAGUAUUGAAAUAGAAAAGUUUUUGUUUUGGAAUCACUCCUAAAGUGCUCCCGGCUAACUUCUAGCUGAAAGCUGGAUUUUGGAGACCAUAUGCAAUUCUAGAGAUUGAACUUUUGUGGGCUGCAUUCAAGGGAUCCCGGCAAGCUACUGAGGAUAUCCCUCCCGCAUGGCAGAACCUGGUAAGCUACCUGUGGUGUAUUU